ACAUGUCAUUUUCUUGUGUGAU
rnacentral:siRNA from 1 species